GAUGAAGAACGUAGCAAAAUGCGAUACUUGGUGUGAAUUGCAGAAUCCCAUGAACCAUCGAGUUUUUGAACGCAAGUUGCGCCCGAAGCCUUUUGGCCGAGGGCACGUCUGCCUGGGCGUCACGCAUCGCGUCGCCCCCCACAAUUCUCCGUAAAAGGAACAUGUGUUUUGGGGGCGGAUAUUGGUCUCCCGUGCUCAUGGCGUGGUUGGCCGAAAUAGGAGUCCUUUCGAUGGACGCACGAACUAGUGGUGGUCGUAAAAACCCUCGUCUUUUGUUUCGUGCUGUUGCUCGCAAGGUAAACUCUUUAAAAACCCCAAUGUGUCGUCUCUUGACGACGCUUCGACCGCGACCCCAGGUCAGGCGGGACUACCCGCUGAGUUUAAGCAUAUCAAUAAGCGGAGGA
rnacentral:misc_RNA from 1 species